rnacentral:lncRNA from 1 species
AAAGUUCAUCUUACAUUCAAAAUUUUAUAUUUUUGUUUUCAUAACCAAACUUACAUGUUUUUUCCCGUUUUGUUAAAAUAAUUAUUCUAUAUAUAUACACACACAUGGGUAAAUCUAUAAAUAUACAUAAGAGAAAAAAGAAAAGAAAAAAGAAAAAUGGAAGUUGUUUAGUUUUGGAUCCGUCUACUUCGAGCCCAAAGUCAAAAAAGGGUUCUUCAAGUUCU